rnacentral:rRNA from 1 species
UACGAAGGGGGCUAGCGUUGUUCGGAAUUACUGGGCGUAAAGCGCACGUAGGCGGAUAUUUAAGUUAGGGGUGAAAUCCCAGGGCUCAACCCUGGAACUGCCUUUAAUACUGGGUAUCUCGAGUCCGAGAGAGGUGAGUGGAAUUCCGAGUGUAGAGGUGAAAUUCGUAGAUAUUCGGAGGAACACCAGUGGCGAAGGCGGCUUGCUGGGCCUUA